GCUGCGCACGCGCGUCUUGGCCCUGCGGCGGGGCUCGGCUCCCAGGCGAGCGUGCAGCUGUGCGCAUGCGCCGCUGCGGAAGGCGGGCCCUCCGGAAAGAUGGCCGCGGGAAGGCUCGCUUCCCGCCUCAGGGGCUCCCGGCGCUUACUGAGCGCCUUCGUGGCCGGAGCGGUGGUGGGCGCGGCGGGAGGCGGGCUCACGGCCCUGCGGCUGCUCCGGGGCCAGGGCGCCGAGGCGGCGCUGGCGGGGAGGGAGCCCGACGGUUGUGCAGAAAAAGCUCUCUUGGAACAAUUUGGAGUCCCUUUAACUGGAACAGAGACUAGGCAUUACACUAAUCAUGCCUUGUCUUAUGAUCAGUCAAAGCGGGUGCCUAGAUGGGUUCUUGAACAUAUAUCCAAAAGCAAGAUAAUGGGUGAUGCGGACAGAAAACAUUGUAAAUUCAAGCCUGAUCCCAACAUCCCUCCAACCUUCAGUGCCUUCAAUGAAGACUAUGUCGGGAGCGGGUGGUCACGAGGACACAUGGCUCCAGCAGGAAAUAACAAAUUUUCAUCUCAAGCCAUGGCUGAAACCUUUUACCUUUCUAAUAUUGUGCCUCAGAAUUUUGAUAAUAAUGCUGGAUACUGGAACAGAAUGGAAAUAUACUGUCGAGAACUGACAGAGAGGUUUGAAGAUGUUUGGAUAGUGUCUGGACCACUGACUUUACCGCAGACUGGAAGUGAUGGAAAGAAAACCGUUAGUUACCAGGUGAUUGGUAAGGAUAAUGUGGCGGUCCCCUCGCACCUUUAUAAGGUGAUCCUGGCUCGCAGAAGCCCCAUGUCUACCGAACCGCUGGCACUAGGGGCCUUCGUGGUGCCCAAUGAAGCCAUUGGCUUCCAACGCCAGUUCAGUGAGUUCCAGGUGAGCCUUCAGGACCUGGAGAAGUUGUCAGGCCUGGUGUUUUUCCCUAAUCUGGAUAGAACCAGCGGCAUCAGGAACAUCUGCUCCGUGGACACCUGUAAGCUCCUGGAUUUCCAAGAGUUCACUCUGUACCUGAGCACACGGAAGAUUGAGGGAGCCCGAUCAGUACCCAGACUGGAGAAGGUCAUGGAAAAUCUGAAGAACGCAGGAGUUGAACCAGAUGAUUACUUCAUGAACCGCUAUAAGAAGAAACUGGAAGAACUCAAAGCGAAGGAGCAGUCCGGAAUCCUGGAGAGGAGGCCACCUUAGUUUCUGUCUCAGAGGACGCGUGAGAGCAUCUGUCAUGAGCAGGGGAAAGCACUAAAUUGGUUGUACAAGACAGCCACUCCGGGAUGUUGAGCACCCAUGAACCCUCUGGAAGCACACAGCAUGGCUGGGCCAGCUCUCGGGACAACUGCUGUGUGCAGGGAGCCGCACUGGGUCCUCAUCCCAUCUUCACACCUACCCACCGGGCAGCCUUCUGCGACUGACCUCAUUCAUCCUAAAUCAGGUGCAGUGGUAUGAGGAGGCGGAGCCUUUGGAGGGUGACCAGCUCUGCGCUCAUGAAUGGGAUUAGGGCCCUAAUGAAAGGGACUCCAGAGAGGUCCUCGGCGCCUCGGUCACGUGAGGACCCUGCAGAAUGAAUGCCGAAGCGGAAAGUGGGCUCUCACCAGACACGGAGUCUGCCAGCACCUUGGUCUUGGGCUCCCCAGCCUCCAGAACUGUGAGAAUUUCUUCUGUUUGUAAAGCACCCAGUCUGUGGGGUUUUGUUACAGCAGCCUGAACCAGCCAAGACUGACUGACGAAGGUCAUCCUGCCCUGAGAAGGUGAAGGGCAGAGCCCCACCUUAAUGCGGCGCUGCGCCCUGGGCCAGGUGGAAGCAGCUCUGCCCCGCCCCGGUCCUGAGCCACCACACCAGCUCUUUGUGUCACUGCUUUGCAGUCUGUAAAGUGCUUUCGCGUCAGAACUUAGGCCACCGUUCGAGUAGCUGCUCUUCAUCCCAUUUCACAAAUGAGCGAACAAGCUCCAGGAGUGUAGGACUCAGGAAGGUUUUCUGGCUCUCAGCCUACCCGCGCGCCCUCCGCCCCCCAAGGUUGUUGCAGUUCUUUUAAUCUGCCCUGUAAUUCGGCCGUGGAUGCAUUUACUCGUCUUAGCCCUACGAGGCCCCGCUGACUUCCUAGAAGCAGACAAGUGAUGCACUCGACUCCUUUUUCUGGGGCCUCCAGGGGGUUCUGCAAACAGUACAUGCUCGAAAGAUGUUUUGCAGUUACCAACAACUCAGAAAAGUUGAGACAAUCCGCUUGGGUCCCAGGGUGCUCGUCAUCU